rnacentral:rRNA from 1 species
GAUGAACGCUGGCGGCGUGCCUAAUACAUGCAAGUCGAGCGGACGGACGAGACGCUUGCUUUUCUGAUGUUAGCGGAGGACGGGUGAGAAACACGUGUAUACCCUACCUAUAAGACUGGGAUAACUUCGGGAAACCGGAGCUAAUCCCGGAUAAUAUUUUGAUCCGCAGGGUUCAAAAGUGAGAGACGGUCUUUCUGGCUCGUAUAGAGGGUUCCGCGCUGCAUUAGCUAGUUGUUCAGGUAACGGCUUACCAAGGCAACCAUGCAUAGCCGACCUGAGGGGGUGAUAGGCGACACUGGAAGUGAGACGGGCACCAGAGUCCUGCGGGAGGCAGCAGUAGGGAACCGUAGGCAAUGGGCGGAAGCAUGACGGAGCAAGGCCGAGUGAGAGACGACGGUGUUGGGAUCGUAAAACUGUGUUUUUAGGGGUAAACAGAUGUGUACGUAGACGAGGCGAUAGUGACGGUAACUAAUAAGAAAGCCACGGCUAACUACGUG